GGGGGUGUGGCGCAAUGGUAGCGCGUCAGAUUCCAGUUUAUGGAAUGUCCUGAAGGCUAGGCGUUCAAAUCGCCUCAUCCUCA